GUGGUGCAAAUUAGCAUUAACCUUGACUUAAGCAUCUAAGAGCAAUUUCCCAUUAGGCUAAUUAUGUAUAUCCCACUGUGUUUCUUGCAGGGUCUGUGUCUCAUGGGUGCAUGCCAUACUGCCCCUUUGGGAUACAGUGCAGGAGAAACUGGAGCUGCCUCAUCAGUGCCAUUUCCAUACCGUGUCUGGUCUCUGGAGAAGGACAGCACGGAUGAAUUUGUGCAACAAGCCAACCAGCCAUAGAAGAUUAUAUCUUACAAGAAAAUCCACUUGUGGUGACUUGUAAGCUACGUUGGCCAUCCCUCACCCACAGUGGUAAGCAGUCUUCUGAGAUCCGCGAGAAUCUUUUUGGUAUACCUGGA
rnacentral:lncRNA from 1 species